rnacentral:misc_RNA from 1 species
GAUGAAGAACGCAGCGAAAUGCGAUAAGUAAUGCGAAUUGCAGAUUUCAGUGAGUCAUCGAAUCUUUGAACGCACAUUGCGCCCGCCAGUAUUCUGGCGGGCAUGCCUGUUCGAGCGUCAUUUCAACCCUCAAGCCCUCGGGUUUGGUGUUGGGGAUCGGCGAGCCUUUCUGGCAAGCCGGCCCCGAAAUCUAGUGGCGGUCUCGCUGCAGCCUCCAUUGCGUAGUAGUAAAACCCUCGCAACUGGAACGCGGCGCGGCCAAGCCGUUAAACCCCCAACUUCUGAAUGUUGACCUCGGAUCAGGUAGGAAUACCCGCUGAACUUAAGCAUAUCAAUAAGCGGAGGA